ACUCCUACGGGAGGCAGCAGUGGGGAAUAUUGCACAAUGGGCGCAAGCCUGAUGCAGCCAUGCCGCGUGUGUGAAGAAGGCCUUCGGGUUGUAAAGCACUUUCAGCAGUGAGGAAGGCGGGUACGUUAAUAGCGUGCUUGUUUGACGUUAGCUGCAGAAGAAGCACCGGCUAACUCCGUGCCAGCAGCCGCGGUAAUACGGAGGGUGCGAGCGUUAAUCGGAAUUACUGGGCGUAAAGCGCAUGCAGGUGGUUUGUUAAGUCAGAUGUGAAAGCCCGGGGCUCAACCUCGGAAUUGCAUUUGAAACUGGCAGACUAGAGUACUGUAGAGGGGGGUAGAAUUUCAGGUGUAGCGGUGAAAUGCGUAGAGAUCUGAAGGAAUACCGGUGGCGAAGGCGGCCCCCUGGACAGAUACUGACACUCAGAUGCGAAAGCGUGGGGAGCAAACAGGAUUAGAUACCCUGGUAGGAUAGCG
rnacentral:rRNA from 1 species